rnacentral:misc_RNA from 1 species
GGAAUAAAUAAAAUUAUCUUUACAACGAUCAACAUGAAUCCAUGUACAACACCAACAAAGAUUUCCAUGUUCACCAGCGGCUGCAAGUUCAAGCGAACUAACAUGUACCUAAAGGUUGUUGGAAAUGUCUCAUUACUAUAGGGCUCCGACCCCACAAACUAGCAUUAGACCUUCAACCAAAAACCAAAAUAUGGUCAUAGGGGAAAUUGAUAUAGACGGUGGUAUCAACGCGAGCACAAUCAACCAUUAUAAUAAAAUAAUUAUAUAUGCAUUGAUUUUAUUGUAUAAAUUUUCAGUCAUAGCUAUGAAUUUCAAAGGAGGACAUAGUUUAGAAAACUACAUGUAAAAGUGCCUUAACUUGGAAAAACGUCGCAGCUAGCCCACCAAGAAAUAGUUGGAGAUAGCAUUGUAGAUGCAGUGCACCGCCCGUUAAUCCUUCAUAGCCAUUCUUCAAGAAACAUGAGUCGUGAUCUUUCAGCUCCUUGUAUGAGUUUUCUCCUUUGACUUAAAUUUGCUUUACAAUGCACUUUUGGCCUACCCUUCCUAGCAUAGAGAAGAAAAUUCCACACUAAAAAUAAGUGUUUUACUGUAAAGAUUGCAAUGUCGUGUUUACAAAGCAAAAGAAUAAAUUUCGUCAAGGAAAAUUCAGUUAACAAAAUUUGGGAUUAAACUUGGGAUGAGUGGCUGCCAACAAGUCUUCCAAAAUCUGCUUCAGGUAGAAGCGUGCUGCUUUCAUCCAACUGCUGUUUUCUAAAUCUUGAUUAGCUUUUCAGAGGCAGGAAUUGAUCAUAAAUCAACCAUACCACACCAGCAUCAACUACAACUCAUCUCCAAUGGAUUAUAUGAAUCUUUGUGGGUAUGUCGAGAAGCAUUAGAGAUGAUGCACGAAAAAGAGUGGCAUCCCUUACUAAAUUGUUGAUUAAUUUCAUCUAAAUGUACCAAGGUUGCAUUUCAAUUCUGAGGAGAGUCUAAUCACACAGCUGCACAUAAUGCUCCAGUUGACCAUGAGGAGCAACAAAAUUUCCCUUCAUCAAUGAACUUUGCGUCAAGUCCAAUGAACCAUGAUCCAGUACUGACAUCAUCAUGUGCAUAAGUUCUAAGAAUAGACCUGUUAAUUGAAAUAAACUGAGCCAAAGCUUGUGAAAUGGCAUAGACUUCACCUGAGGCAUGUCGGAAGUAUGAUUUUCCAUCACCGAAUUUCCACCAGUCUGGUUCAUACCAUUUGUGGUUCUGCUCAGAAAAAACUUCGCCUGAUUUCAUACACCCAAUAUAAACCCGAGGCUUAUCCAAAUGAGUGGAAAGUGUAGCUCCCAGGGCAUCAAUAUUAACAAAAACAUCAUCAUUGACCUUAACAUAAAAUUCAGCAUUCCAGUUCUCUACAGCAUUUAUAAAGAAUAAUUUUGUCUUUUUUGGAGCCUCCUCAGUUGCCUCCACUUGUCCAUCCUGUUGAGGCAAAAGAAGGAAUGUAAAUUACUUACUAAUAUUUGUUCCUUCAAAUUACCAAAUCUCUGAACAUGCUAACUACUAAACACUCAUAUUUGCAAAAAAUAAAAAAAGGAACAUGCAAAUGAAUGUUGAAUCAGGGGUCUUUAACAUGAACAUGAGAAAUUAGAACUUUUGAAGCAGAAUUGGAGUUAGCUUAUUUCUCAUUAAAUUAAAAUUUAAGAAUGCAUUGGUCAAAUAACCAGUUAACUGGUUCACAAAGACUUUCAAAUGCUUAAGCUAGAAGCUAAUGAUUGUUUCUUUUCAAGUUCAAUUCUCUUAGAAAAGCCCAAAAUUUUCAUUUCUGGAUGGCAACAAUAAUAAAAAUUUUGAUUUUAAAAAAAUAGGAUCCAUUAAGAGCUUAAACCAAGCUAAAUAUUCUUCAAUUCAAUUAAAUUGACAAAUGAACAUACAAGAACAAUGAAGUCAUUAGUCCUCCUAUUUUCGUUGUCAAUCUCCAUGUCCAAACUGUCUCCACUAUUUGCACUUCUGCCUAUGACAAAUCUCACAACAAUGGCCUUUUCGUCCUCCAGUUUUUUAAGAGCUGCACCUGCUUGCCUGGCUGCGGCUAGAUCCAUCUCAACCGCUGCUAACUUCUUCUGUUGCUCCCUGCAGGAUAUAAUUUUUAGAGUGUCGUCAGCUGAUAUGGAAGAUUUAACCUGACUAUUUCUCCUCUCAAACUCUUCAACUAAAUGCAAUCUAUUCUCUGCGUCUUGCCACAGACGGCCGGCGACAUAAAUCGUGGCCAUGGUUGCAAACAUGGCCAGCAAAAGAGCCGAGACUCGAGACGUGAAAGCCGAACCGCCGCUGCCACCACCAGCUAGCCGGUUACCGGAUCCCCGGCUACGCAUUGCUUCUUUGAUUUGUUGUUAGAUUCAAACAGUUGUGUGCAAUUUUUGAUUAUCGGAUCUGAAAUGGAUUAAAGAUUUUGAAUCUGAGGACAAGAAAUAAAAUUGAAUAGCGCAGGAAGAUGAGUGGGACGUAGUAACCGAAGAAUAAAAUUGAAGUUGUUCUUGGCUUUCAGUUUCAC